GGUCAUUACUGGUGCAGUGGUUAGCACUCUUGCCUCACAGCAAGAAGGUUGUGGGUUUGAAUCCGGUCCGGGGCCG